rnacentral:rRNA from 1 species
GGUUGUGAUCAUACCAGUGUUAAUGCACCAAAUCCAAUUAUAACUCCAUAGUUAAGCAUGCUUGUGCUAUAGUAGUACUAGAAUGGGUGACCUCCCGGGAAGUUCUAGUGUUGCACCCU